GCAGCCGCGGUAAUACGGAGGAUGCGAGCGUUAUCCGGAUUUAUUGGGUUUAAAGGGAGCGUAGGUGGCCUGUUAAGCCAGCUGUGAAAUACUGUAGCUCAACUACAGCCGUGCAGUUGGAACUGGCGGGCUUGAGUGCACAAGAGGAAGGUGGAAUUCAUGGUGUAGCGGUGAAAUGUUUAGAUAUCAUGAAGAACUCCGAUUGCGAAGGCAGCCUUCUGGAGUGCAACUGACACUGAGGCUCGAAAGUGUGGGUAUCGAACAGGAUUAGAUACCCC
rnacentral:rRNA from 1 species